UUUCCGUAGGUGAACCUGCGGAAGGAUCAUUAUCGAGUUUUGACUGGGUUGUAGCUGGCCUUCCGAGGCGUGUGCACGCCCUGCUCAUCCACUCUACACCUGUACACUUACUGUGGGUAUCAGAUCGUGAAGCGUGCUCUUUUACCGGAGCUUGUGAAGCGUGUCUGUGCCUGCGUUUAUCACAAACACUAUAAAGUAUCAGAAUGUGUAUUACGAUGUAACGCAUCUAUAUACAACUUUCAGCAACGGAUCUCUUGGCUCUC
rnacentral:misc_RNA from 1 species